CCGUCUUUAUCACAUACCGCCUCUGCCAAGCGAACCGAAUGAAGCCUGUCCUUUGUGUUGACGUCACGCGGUUGGCAACAGGCGUCUAGUAGCGACUCUCCAACACUGCGUUCCGAUUGGCUACUCGUCUCAGAUCUCCGUCGCUAUUGGAGGACGCCAGGACAGGCCUUACUACAUUACAAAGCAUAGGCUGCCAUCUUCUUGUAGACAGUUUAAGGAGAGAGACGGUGGUUUUGUUUGAGAGAUGUGGAACGUUCUUUAUAUGUUGUGUUCGUGAAUAGAAGUUUAAAGAAGCAGCGAGUUUCCUGUGUUGACCAGCAUCAGUUUAACAUCAUUUUGGAGCAAUAACGCACCAGAGAGAAGUCGCUGGGCUUCUUGUAACCACCGUGUGCCGAGGAGAUUCAUGUCCGGCCCCGCCGCACAGGUCAAGCCCUGUUGGCACAUGAGAACAAUAACACCCGCAGGACUGCCCGCCAGAUCAGAGAGCAGUGCAGAACAUUGUCCGAGCUGGAGCGGAACCGGAGGCUUGAGACGGGAGGAGACCAACGAUUUCUGCAACCUUUCAUCCACAAAGA